rnacentral:ncRNA from 2 species
UGAUAGCAAUGAAGCGCGAGGUUGCUGCCACAAAGCUGGCAGGUUUUCCGUGGAGCGAAUGUCAAGUUUGAAAACUGACGACAA